rnacentral:rRNA from 1 species
GACGAACGCUGGCGGCGUGCCUAAUACAUGCAAGUCGAACGCAGUGGGGACGGGUGAGUAACACGUGGGUAACCUCCCAUCAGAGGGGAUAACACUUGGAAACAGGUGCUAAACCGAUACUGAUGGAUGGACCCGCGGUGCAUUUGCUAGUUGGUGAGGUAACAGCUCACAAAGGCCACGAUGCAUAGCCGACCUAAGAGGGUUAUAGUCCACAGUAGGUCGUAGACACGGCCCAGACUCCUACGGGAGCCAGUAGGAGUGAAUCUUCGGCAAUGGACGAACGUCUGACCGAGCAAAGCCUCGUGAGUGAAGAGGGUUUUCGGAUCGUAAAACUCUGUUGUUAGAUAAGCGGUAUCUAACCAGAAAGCCACGGCUAACUACGUGCCAGCCGCCGCGGUAAUUC